rnacentral:rRNA from 1 species
UUUUAGCAAGANCGUGCUCGCAGCCGCGGUAAUACGUAGGGGGCNAGCGUUAUCCGGAAUUACUGGGUGUAAAGGGUGAGUAGGUUGGCUUGNAAGUCGUAUGNGAAAUACCGAUGCUUAACAUCGGGGCUGCAUAAGAAACUACNAGCCCAGAGUACAGGAGAGGUAAGCGGAAUUCCUAGUGUAGCGGUGAANUGNGUAGAUAUUAGGAAGAACACCAGUGGGGAAGGGGGCUUACUGGACUGAAACUGANACUGGGUCACGAANGCGUGGGGAGCGAACAGGAUUAGAUACCCUGGUAGUCCACGCUGUAAACGAUGAAUACUAGGUGUCGGGCCUUACGGCUCGGUGCCGCAGUUAACACAAUAAGUAUUCCACCAGGGGAGUANGGCCGCAAGGCUGAAACUCAAAAGAAUUGACGGGGGCCCGCACAAGCGGUGGAGCAUGUGGUUUAAUUCGAAGCAACGCGAAGAACCUUACCAAGGCUUGNNNNCCNUCUCGAUACUCUAGAAAUAGAGUAGCCCUUCGGGGGAGAAGUGACAGGUGGUGCAUGGUUGUCGUCNGCUCGUGUCNUGAGAUGUUGGGUUAAGUCCCGCAACGAGCGCAACCCUUAUCUUUAGUAGCAAGCAGGUAAUGCUGAGCACUCUAGAGAGACUGCCAUGAAUAACAUGGANGAAGGUGGGGACGACGUCNAAUCNUCAUGCCCCUUACNCCUUGGGCUACACACGUGCUACAAUGGCUACNACNAGUGAAGCAAGNACAGUGAUGUUAANCANAGCACAGAANAGUANUCNNCAGUUCGGAUUGUAGUCUGCAACUCNACNACNUGAANCCGGAANCGCUAGUAAUC